AGUAAACGGCGGCCGUAACUAUAACGGUCCUAAGGUAGCGAAAUUCCUUGUCGGGCAAGUUCCGACCUGCACGAAUGGCAUAAUAAUGGCCACACUGUCUCCUCCCGAGACUCAGUGAAAUUGAAAUGUUUGUGAUGAUGCAAUCUCCCCGCGGCUAGACGGAAAGACCCCAUGAACCUUAACUGUAGCUUUGCAUUGGACUUUGAACCGAUCUGUGUAGGAUAGGCGGGAGGCUUUGAAGAAUGGACGCCAGUUCAUUCGGAGCCGUCGUUGAAAUACCGCCCUGAUUUGUUUGAGGUUCUAACCUGGGCCAGUAAUCCUGGCUGGGGACCGUGCAUGGUGGGCAGUUUGACUGGGGCGGUCUCCUCCUAAAGGGUAACGGAGGAGUGCGAAGGUACGCUAAUCACGGUCGGAAAUCGUGAGGAUACUGCAAUGGGAAAAGCGUGCCUGACUGCGAGACAGACAAGUCGAGCAGAUGCGAAAGCAGGUCAUAGUGAUCCGGUGGCUUCUGUAUGGAAGGGCCAUCGCUCAACGGAUAAAAGGUACUCUGGGGAUAACAGGCUGAUACCGCCCAAGAGUUCAUAUCGACGGCGGUGUUUGGCACCUCGAUGUCGGCUCAUCUCAUCCUGGGGCUGUAGUCGGUCCCAAGGGUAUGGCUGUUCGCCAUUUAAAGAGGUACGUGAGCUGGGUUUAAAACGUCGUGAGACAGUUUGGUCCCUAUCUGCCGUGGGCGUUGGAAGAUUGACGGGGGCUGCUCCUAGUACGAGAGGACCGGAGUGGACGCACCUCUGGUGUACCGGUUGUCACGCCAGUGGCAUUGCCGGGUAGCUAAGUGCGGAAGAGAUAACCGCUGAAAGCAUCUAAGCGGGAAACUUGCCUGAAGAUGAGUCUUCCCGGAGGUAAAACCUCCCUCAAGAGUCGUCCGAGACCAGGACGUCGAUAGGUCAGGUGUGUAAGCGCUGUGAGGCGUUGAGCUAACUGAUACUAAUUGCUCGUGAGGCUUGAUCCU
rnacentral:rRNA from 1 species